rnacentral:rRNA from 1 species
CCUACGGGUGGCAGCAGUGAGGAAUAUUGGUCAAUGGGCGGGAGCCUGAACCAGCCAAGCCGCGUGAGGGAAGACGGUCCUCUGGAUUGUAAACCUCUUUAGGCGGGGAGCAAUGCCGGGCACGCGUGCCCGGAGGGAGAGUACCCGCAGAAUAAGCAUCGGCUCACGCCGUGCCAGCAGCCGCGGUAAUACGGGGGUUGCGAGCGUUAUCCGGAUUUAUUGGGUUAAAAGGGUGCGUAGGCGGAUUUUUAAGUCAGCGGUAAAAUGUCGGGGCUCAACCCGGGCCGGCCGUUGAAACUGGUGAUCUUGAGUGGGAGAGAAGUAUGCGGAAUGCGUGGUGUAGCGGUGAAAUGCAUAGAUAUCACGCAGAACUCCGAUUGCGAAGGCAGCAUGCCGGCGCCCGACUGACGCUGAGGCACGAAAGCGUGGGGAUCGAACAGGAUUAGAUACCCGAGUAGUC